rnacentral:rRNA from 1 species
AUUGAACGCUGGCGGCAGGCUUAACACAUGCAAGUCGAGCGGAGAGAGGUAGCUUGCUACCGAUCUUAGCGGCGGACGGGUGAGUAAUGCUUAGGAAUCUGCCUAUUAGUGGGGGACAACAUUUCGAAAGGAAUGCUAAUACCGCAUACGUCCUACGGGAGAAAGCAGGGGAUCUUCGGACCUUGCGCUAAUAGAUGAGCCUAAGUCGGAUUAGCUAGUUGGUGGGGUAAAGGCCUACCAAGGCGACGAUCUGUAGCGGGUCUGAGAGGAUGAUCCGCCACACUGGGACUGAGACACGGUCCAGACUCCUACGGGAGGCAGCAGUGGGGAAUAUUGGACAAUGGGCGGAAGCCUGAUCCAGCCAUGCCGCGUGUGUGAAGAAGGCCUUAUGGUUGUAAAGCACUUUAAGCGAGGAGGAGGCUACUUUAGUUAAUACCUAGAGAUAGUGGACGUUACUCGCAGAAUAAGCACCGGCUAACUCUGUGCCAGCCGCCGCAGUAAUAC